UUAAAAAAUCUUUUUUUUUUUCUCUUAAGAUAAAAUUUAUAAAUGCAUCAAAAAUGUUAAAGUUGAGGGCUAGAUAAUGAAAACACAAGUAAGGCAAUCAUUCAAUGUGAAAUUAGUAUUGAAUUUCUAGAAACACAUAUUUGUUCCUGUACUUUCAAACUCAAGAGAAAUCAACAUUAUAAAAAAAAAAUCCUCAAAACCCAAGGUCAUGUCUCCUGCACCUAUAAUCAUCAAUGUGGUUUACACUGGCACAUACCCUCACUAAAAGAAAGGCAACAAACUUUAUGAAUAACAAGUCAAGCCUCAAGUAACAAAAGAAAAUUUUACAUCAUAUAUUUAUCCACAUUUAGGUUGCUAUGGACCCUGCUGGAGACUUUUAAAGAAUGUGACAUGACAUUUCUUAAAAUAAUCAACAUCAUAUUCUGUUAUUACUCUAGAACCAAUAUUGACCAUCUCAAAAAUUCUCUUCAAUCAUUUCACUGAAAGCUUUCUGUGUAAGAGAAAAUAAUACAAACUCCCAAAAGAAGUGUUUCUUCAUCUGAACAGUUAGCUCUUCACACCUCUUCAACAUUUUUGACUAAAUGGGAGGCCAUAGUAAAUUCUAACAAACGGAUCUUCUGUUUCUCCUCCACAUGGUUAAGAUGUUAACGUAGGUAAUUUUGUAAGUUCUGUAUCAGAAUGAGAUCAUUCUGUAUCAUGAGAUCAUCAGAAAUGCAGCCACAGUUCACAGCUGGAAAAGGAGACAACUUUCUUACUACAGAAAAGAUUAUGAAUAAGCAAUUAUGUCAUAUUACAGGCAAAAUUUAUAAACCUUCAAGGCUGCUAAUCACACAAAACAGAACUUUUGCUUUCCUGAGACUUCUAAACGCUUCCUGUGUCUUUUGCAAGGAGAUCUCAUCCCUUCUGCCACAGACAGAAGCACAAAGUCGUGGAGGUUUUCUUAUUUUUGCUUUCUGGUUACAUGUCAAAGAACAUUGAUUGUCACACAAUGAAUUACGUUUACUGAGGGCUCCCUCUCAGGAAGGCACAGCCUUAGUGCUGCUGCUGUAGAUGUGUUCUAUUUAGUUCUCUCCACAACUGUGAGGCAAUAGAUGGUUAAGUUAGUUACUCAAGCACACAUAACAAGGAAAUAAGACUCAAGCACAGACUGACUCCAAAAGCCCAUGCUCUUCACCACUGCAUUCAACUUCUCCAUAACAAGGGCAAACAAAAAAAAAAAAAAAAGAAAGAAAGAAAGAAAAAGAAACCAAUUCGUUAAUUUUGUUUUCCAGUUUUAGGCUCUUAUAUCAAGCAGCUAUUGUUCUGCUGCUUUAAAAGUCACUACUUUGGUAAAAAGAGUUUAUAUAAGGACAUAAAUACAUGUGACAUAUACGUAAAAUAUACGUAAAAGACAAACUAUUCACUAGAGUCAAGUGAAUUCUAUGAUACAGGUAAAAACAAGAGUUGAAGGAAAGGAACAUCCCUAGAGGAAUUAGUACCAACACCUGAUUAGGGUGCAAACCAGUUUUCUCAGAUUAAAUCAUUUAUCACAAACCCUACAGGACAGUGCCUGCCACCUGAAGAUAUUUCAGGUGUGUGACACCAAGUUUUCCUUCUGUGGAAUGAAGCCAGACGACCGAAUGAUAGGAAGUCUUACUGUUCCCUUUUCAACAGACCAGGGCUACUUCAGAAUGCCUGGAAUUUCGAUGAAUUCGAAUGCCCAGCUGCGUCGGUAGCUCCCUAGGUCUUCCUUGUCACACUUAAAGCGCGGACAGAUCCGGUUCAUCAGCGCCCGCCCUAGCGAGGUGCGUCUGGUCCUGGGGGCGUUUUCCCUUUUUAGCAUUUGGAGUCCAGUAGGACGUGGUGAAGGUCGGUUCCCCUGCGAGCGAGCGAGCGAGCGAGCAACCAACCAACCGACCGACCGACCGACCGACCGACGCUAUUUCUAAAAGCCGCCAGGAACAGUGAAAGUCAGCUCCGCUGGCGACCGGGGCCACGAGGAGCGUCUCCCUCUCCCAGAUGCCAGGAAUAAAUCAGCUGACUGCCCAGUGACAGCCACACAAUUCAUCUUUUAGAGGCUCCCAAGACCAUUGUGAUGUUGAAGUUCUGAUAUGUGCCAUUGGACACAUUUUUGCCUAGUGCUAACCCUUUUCCUAGGGUCACACCGGGUGUUUGGCUGUAGCCUGGAGUCUUUGUAGAAGCAUCUCAACAGAAGCCUCAUCCUUUAUGCUACGUAAUAAGAUCUCCUUCGUGUGCACAAGUUUCUGCUUCUUGUGUGGUGAGUGUUCACGGGGUGCGUGCCCCUCCUAGACCUCUCUACACUCAGGUUGAGCCACAAUCCCCAUAACCAUUGAGAUGCACUGCAUUGCAUCAGCAGGAGGCAUUUUUCUUGCUGUUGUUAUUUGUUGGAAAAUGUAAUAUUUGCACCAUAUAUCUAGGUUAGUUCCAGCUGAUGGGACUGAUGCCAUAUAUGAAUCAUGAGUUGAAUGUAUAAAAAUUUCAGCUUUGCCACUGCUGUUUUUGGAUGGAUGGUAUGCAUGGGGAAAAGGAGAGUGGGAGGAAAAGAAAUUGUUGAUUGGCUCCUAGACCUGGAGUUGGUUAUUAGAAAUUAUAAAAAAUGGUGGCUCUACUCAGAAGACAUGGGCGUAUAAAAGCUCGGAAUGCUUAAUGCUCAAAUUUCCCUACAUUUAUAUAAAUGGAAGUAAACUUUUAUUAC